GCUGAAACAUAACUCAGGCAUAGAUAUUAUCUCUGGAGCGGAAAGGUUAGGGGUCCAAACCCCAUGACGAGAGAUGCUAGAGGAGGAAAGGUCAUCGGGGGAGCAGGGUCCCACCCUUUAAUGGAUUGUCUAUUGUUAGGCCCCUGGGGCUUUACACCCUGGUGACCUGCACCUGGCCCAUUGCCCUUGCUCUGCUCAUGUCUGUUUAACAGCCUGUCACAAAGAGCAUGUGGCUAGUGACUACUGUAUUAGUCCAGGAGGUGUCUGGCCAACCAAGUGGAGCUCUUCAGCAGAGAUGGAUCGAUGGUCUGAACUGCACAAAGCAGUUUAGUGGUGAUCAGACAUGAUAGUAGUUGAAACCAUGGAUAUGAAUGACAUUGUCCAAGUAAUAUAUGUAGAAAGAGGAGGGCCAGAGCCUAAUUCGGGGAACGAGACAAAGAAAGAGGAGUAAAAAAAUUGCAGAGAUGAUGUCUUCUUCCCAGAAGCAGACCCUGAGAUGAGGAUUUGUGUGCAAGUUAUUUAUUUAAAACAUGCUACAAGAAGAAACCAGUGAGGGAGCGGGGAAAGCAGGAGAGGAAAACCAAGCAAGCAUGUGAUCUCAGGCAGCUUUACCAUGGGGGAGCUCUGGAUGUUAAGUUAUGCCUCAGAUUUGUCAGGAAAUGAGGGAACUGGGCCCUACAUAUACCAACAACCCUCAGCUGUUGACCAAGGGUUGCCCCAGGAGAUGUCAAUUCCAAGGCCAAGCCUCCAACAUUCCUCAAACGAAAAACAAAAACAGAAAAGAAAGAAAAACCACCUGGAAGUUCUUUUAGAAACCACACACCAAAGACCAGGGGGUGUGGGAGUAUAGAGUGUAUAUGGGGGGGAUGGGCAAAAACAAAUGAUAAACAGAGAUCCAUGAUACUGCUAUUGUCUUCUAUAAUGACUACCAUUGCUCAGUGACCUUGGUGAGAAUAAUUUUAGGGACAUGGUGGAAGCAGAAGCCAAAUGGUAGAGGACUGAAGAACAAAUGGAAGUUCUGCUUCUUUUCGGGACUAUCUUCAUUCUCAGGCAGGUUGUACCCUCAGAGGUAGCGAUAUGGCUGCCUGCAGCUGCAAGCUUACUGGAGUAACAACCCUAGCGGAAAAAGAUCCUGGCUUUCCCAACAGCUCCAACAAAUGCAGUCGGGUUUAAUUUCAUCAGCUCAGCUUGGGUCACCCAAUAAACAUCUGUUGUAUAAUAAAGAAUUUGUCUGAUCUUUGUCCCAUGUUCCUGGCACAGAGGAUUAAAAGUACUUGAUAUUUC